rnacentral:rRNA from 1 species
UACGUAGGGUGCAAGCGUUGUUCGGAUUUAUUGGGCGUAAAGGGCGUGUAGGCGGUCCGUUAAGUCUGAUGUGAAAGCCCCCGGGCUCAACCUGGGAAGUGCAUUGGAAACUGGCGGACUUGAGUACGGGAGAGGGCAGUGGAAUUCCUAGUGUAGGAGUGAAAUCCGUAGAUAUUAGGAGGAACACCGGUGGCGAAGGCGGCUGCCUGGACCGAUACUGACGCUGAGACGCGAAAGCGUGGGGAGCAAACAGG